rnacentral:rRNA from 1 species
UACGUAGGGUGCGAGCGUUAAUCGGAAUUACUGGGCGUAAAGUGUGCGCAGGCGGCCGCGCAAGUCGAGUGUGAAAGCCCCGGGCUUAACUUGGGAAUUGCGCUCGAAACUACGUGGCUGGAGUGUGGCAGAGGAAGGUGGAAUUCCAGGUGUAGCGGUGAAAUGCGUAGAGAUCUGGAGGAACACCGAUGGCGAAGGCAGCCUUCUGGGCCAGUACUGACGCUGAGGAGCGAAAGCGUGGGGAGCAAACAGG